ensembl:antisense uncharacterized LOC110313544
AGUCUUAACUCGGACUGUUCUAACAGUAUGUUCUCAGCUUUUUGCUAUCAAAAGCAUUGCAGAGCUCAGAAGACUCUGCAAACAUUUUCAUUUCUCCCUACAAGGCCAGAGGGGAAUAGUUUCUGGUGGCCUACCAGAGGGACUGCUGUGGCUGUUGCUAAUCGGACAAUGCUGUGGAAGGUUUCAUAAAGAGUUCGUAACUUGCGUGAAGAAACUGAAGCUUUAUGAGUGGGCAUGGCAGGUUCCACUUCGAUCAACUGUGACACUGCAGCUUCAGCAAAGAUGAAUGGUUCCAUCGCUUGACACAGCAGCAGGAUAGGCCUCUGGAUCGCCUGGAAGUGAAGCAUCUGGGGACAUCUCCUAAUAGAGACAAAAUCAAAGAAAAACAAGGUGAUAAUAAUUUAGUAGAGACAAGGAAGUGUGUAAGCCAGUCUGUCCUUGAUCCAGCUCCCAUGGUCUUUACCUCCCAAGGGAAUGUAUAUAAUGCCUGGAUAUAAAUGCUAUUAAAUGAAAUUUUAGUUUGCUCUCUUACUGUUUAAGAGUUAAAGAUGCUAGAUAUAUCAUACAAUAGGAAAAAAAAACAAGAUAUUUAAUGUCACGGUUUGAGUGACAAAGAAAUUUGAGUAAAUUAUUGUGAAUUUGUGUUCUAAAUUUUUUUAUAUUAAACUAUGAUUGCUAU